AUAAAUAAAAUAAGUAAAGCACUUUUCAGUAUCUUUCUGGAAUUCUUAUCUAUUUGUUAACAUAUGUAUGGUCUUUUUCUGCUGCUGAGAGGUGAAGCCAGCUGGACUUCCUGGCUCGAGUAGGGACUUGGAGAACUUUUCUGUCUAGUUAGAGGUUUGUAAAUGCACCAAUCAGCGCUUUGUGUCUAGCCAAAGGAUUGUAAAUGCACCAAUCAGCAACUCUGUAAAAUGGACCAAUCAGCACUCUGUAAAAUGGACCAAUCAGCACUCUGUAAAAUUGACCAAUCAGCAGGAUGUGGGAGGGGACAAAUAAGGAAAUAAAAGCUGACCACCCCAGCCAGCGGGGGCGACGUGGUGGGGUCCAUUUGUAGGUUGUGGAGGAUUUGAUCUUUUGCUCUUGGAAAUAAAUCUUGCUGCUGCGCGCGCUCUCUCUCUGGGUGCAUGCUGCUUUUAAGAGCUGUGAUACUCACCAGGAAGGUCCGUGGUUUCAUUCUGGAAGUCAGCGAGACCAAGAACCCACCAGAAGGAACCAACUACAGACACACUGCUAUAUGCUGGAGCCCAGUGGCACAAUCUCCCCUCAUUGCAACCUUUGCCUCCAGAGUUCAAGUAGUUCUCCUGCCUCUGCCUCCCGAGUAGGUGGGAUUACAGGUGCCUGCCACCACACCUGGGUCCAGCUAUGUACAAACUGAAUCAAGAUUCUAUGUACAUCAGAAUCAAGAGAGAGUGAGUUCUUGACAUCACGGAGCGGUCUACAUUCUAGUUCAUGCGGUGGACCUGCUGGGUGGCCUCAGGACCUGAAAUAAAACCAUACGUUGGCUCUCCUGAGUCUCCACCUUCUUGACUGCAGAUUUGGGACUUCUCAGCCUCCAUAAAUAUAGUCUCCCUAUGUCUCCCAAGCUGGAGUGCAGUGGCGUGAUCUUGGCUCAUUGCAGCCUCCACCUCCCAGGUUCAAGUGAUUCUUCUCUCCCAGCCUCCCAAGUAGCUGGGAUUACAGGCUGGAGUGCAAUGGCGUGAUCUCAGCUCACUGCAACCUCCACCUCCUGGGUUCAAGAGAUUCUCCUGCGUCAGCCUCCCGAGUAGCUGGGAUUACAGGCAUGCACCACCACGCCUGGUUAAUUUUGUGUUUUUAGUAGAGAGAGGUUUCUCCUUGUUGGUCAGGCUGGUCUCGAACUCCCAACCUUAGGUGAUCUGCCCGCCUCGGCCUCCCAGAGUGCUGGGAUUACAGGUGUGAGGCACCGCGCCGGCCUAUUGCUUUUAUGUUCUCUACAGUCUCUGCAUGCCUCUGUUGGCUGCCAUCGGGGGCAGACCACUCCCACUGCCCAUCCUUGGACUCCACUGUUUUGGUUUCCCUGGGCAGUUACCCUCUGUCUGGGCAAGUGAAGAUUCUCAGCCUGAGCCCAAUAUCAACAAUGUUCCAGGCUGAAACAGCAGUAGCCAAUUGUCUGCCCAUUUCUGAACGGUUCUUACUAUUCUGGAACUGUAGUCCUUAUACUUUUUUUCUUUGCUUUCACAGUUCUGGAUUCCCUUAAAAAUACUAUUUCUGUGUUAAGUGUUUUCUAGCUGUCAGCACACAUGCUGUCUUACCGUGACCUAUUAUAUCUUUCUUGGAAACAGAAGGCACUACUGGUUUUUGAAUGCUGAUCUUAUAUUUUGGAAUCUCACUGAGUGUUCUUAUUAGUCGUAAAGCCUUAUCUAUAAAUUCUCCUGGAAAGUUCCCUUCAAUCCUUCUUUUAAUGACAAUUUGAAUUAUAAAUGAGGAUUGAAUUUUUUCAAAAUUUUUUCAGAAUGGAUUUAGCGAAUUAUGCGAAUUUCUCAUUUAAUGUGAUGUAUUAUACAAUAAGUUUUUCUGAUAUGGAACCAUCCUUGCAUUUCUUAGAUUCACCCUAUCCUUUCAUAAUGUAUUUUCUAAAAUAUUACUGAACCUGACUUCCUAGUUUUCCAUUUUACACUUUCAUGUCUAUUUUUCUAUAGAUUUCUUUACUUUUGUAUUAUUCUUAGUGGAUUUU